UACGUAGGGGGCGAGCGUUGUCCGGAGUUACUGGGCGUAAAGCGCUUGUAGGCGGUCCACCAAGUUUGGGGUGACAGUUGCCGACUUAAUCGGCAAAGUGCCUCAAAGACUGGCGGACUUGAGGGCCACAGAGGGACAUGGAACUCCAGGUGUAGUGGUGAAAUGCGUAGAUAUCGGAAGGAACACCUGUGGCGAAAGCGGCUCACUGGACCAUUACUGACGCUGAGGCACGAAAGCUAGGGGAGCAAACAGG
rnacentral:rRNA from 1 species